UAUAUGAAAAAAACACGGCAUGAUAGAGCUGCUGCAAAAAAUUUAACUUCUGACGAUGAAUCUGUUGAUAUAGAAGUGGAUUCUUGUUUAUUGUCUCCUUUACCAGAUCCGAAAGAAUUUUCUGAAUCUCAAAAAUUGUUAUUCGGAAAAACCUGCACUGAUUUUGACAACCUAUGAAAAUCCGAUCAUUUCCGAAAAAGACAACAUCGUUAUAACUGAAAAAAAAAACCGAAGAUAAUUCGACAAGAAGUGAUUGCUAAACCUAAGAAAAAAGAAUUAGAAAAUAAAAAUCAAAAAGAUUUUAUCACUGAAGAUAAUGAAGAUUUUAACACCGAAAAUCAUUCCAUCAAUAAAUUGUUCAUGGAAAUUUUGAGAAAAGUAAAUCGCGUCUUAGUUGAAAUGACAUACAUCGAUAGAAGGCUAAGUAGAUUAGAAAAUAAAAUAGACUAUAUUACAAAUAAAGAAAUUAAUGUAAAUAACGUCGAAGAAGCUUUCGUUUUCGACACUAUUUCUUCAGUGGAUGAGCUGAAAUUGUUUGAAGACAAUUUGAAAAAUGAAGAAUUUUUUACGAAAAUGAAAGGCUUCUUGAAAUUGAAAGGCGGAACAAAUCUACAAGACAUGAUAAAAAAUACAUUUAAAGCAUUAAUAAAGGACGAAAUAUUAAUGUUAUAUAGUUGGAAAGGAGCUCGAGGAAAAAAUGUAUUCCAAAAUUUCAAAAUUGUUAG